AGCGCGUGGAGCAACCAAAAAAGU
rnacentral:siRNA from 1 species